GACGAACGCUGGCGGCGUGCCUAAUACAUGCAAGUCGAACGAACCGCGACUAGGUGCUUGCACUUGGUCAAGGUGAGUGGCGAACGGGUGAGUAACACGUGGGUAACCUACCUCAUAGUGGGGGAUAACAGUCGGAAACGACUGCUAAUACCGCAUAGGACAUAGGAUUACAUGAUUCUGUGAGGAAAGGUGGCGCAAGCUAUCGCUAAGAGAUGGACCCGCGGUGCAUUAGCUAGUUGGUAGGGUAAAGGCCUACCAAGGGGAGGAUGCAUAGCCGACCUGAGAGGGUGAUCGGCGACAUUGGGACUGAGACACGGCCCAAACUCCUACGGGAGGCAGCAGUAGGGAAUCUUCCGCAAUGGACGCAAGUCUGACGGAGCAACGCCGCGUGAGUGAAGAAGGUCUUCGGAUCGUAAAGCUCUGUUGUUAGAGAAGAACAGCGCAUAGAGUAACUGUUAUGCGUGUGACGGUAUCUAACCAGAAAGCCACGGCUAACUACGUG
rnacentral:rRNA from 1 species